GCCUCUCCAACGCCCCGCACCCGCCCCCCUCAGAAGCACGUGCGCCUUACGUAAUUUCCUGUUAUUCUUCGGUUUGCCUCCUCCCAGUGGCGUGGAUUUGCUCCCGACCCGCUUUUGGGGCGUGCCUGCUUCCUCCUCUCUGUUAGAUGAGCCCCAGAGAGGCGAAGCCACUUGAGCUCGUGAGUGACAGUCAGAUGUCAAGCCCUGCUCUUUCUAAAGCGUGCUGCCUUCAGAAAAGAAGAGCCAGAAGGAUGGAAAUUACUUCAGAAAGAUGAAUACCAGCUUUGAAGGAAUAAAAGCUGACGAGGAAUUGAAGGAGUUGAGGCACGAGCUUGAACAGGGUUGCAUGUUUGGCCCUUGAUUGUAAAUGCCCAUUGCUGCACCUGUUCCUGUUACUUGGGGAGUUGCAGCAGAAGGAACAGCGGCCUGGGACUCCAGAGAACUGGGUUCCCUCUCAUCCCUCCAGGGCCACCACUUCUUGUGGGCCCUUGGGCAAGUCACUGUACUUUCUGAGUCUCAGUUUCCCCAUUUGCAGAAUGGAAAUAACUACCCCGGUCUACCAACUUAGAAGAAUUGCUUUGAGGAUCUGAUAAGGUGGUGUGGAUGAUGCUGCCUUGGGGGCUUUACAGUCUGGAGCUCAAGGGACCCCUUAAGUUGGGCUUACUUAGUAACUCCAGGGGUGGGCAGAACAGGACUCCAAUGAGGGUUUUUUUCUUUUUCCCUUUUUUUUCUUUUCCUAUCUCUUAACUUUUAUCUUUAUUAUUUUACAAUGCCCUUGUAAGAUGAAACAAGUGAUGCUGAAAUAUCUUUUUCUUUUUUAACCUUUAUUUUAGAAUUGGGGUACAUGUGCAGGUUUGUUACAUAGGUACAGUGUGGGCUGCUGAGGUUUGGGAGUACGAAUGAAUUAGUCACCCCAGUGGUGAGCAUAGUGCCCGAUAAGUGGUUUUUUCAACCCUUACUCCCAUCCCUCUCCAUUCUUGUGUUCCCCAGUGUCUGCUGUUCCCAUUUUUAUGACCAUGUGUACUCAAUGUUUAGCUCCCACUUAGAAGUAAGAACAUGCCCAGCACUUUGGGAGGCCGAGGUGGGUGGAUCAUGAGGUCAAGAGAUCGAGACCAUCUUGGCUAACAAAGUGAAACCCUGUCUCUACUAAAAACAUAAAAAAUUGGCCGGGUGUGGUGGUGGGCACCUGUAGUCCUAGCUACUCGGGAGGCUGAGACAGGAGAAUCGCCUGAACCGGGGAGGUGGAGGUUGCAGUGAGCUGAGAUUGUACCACUGCACUCCAGCCUGGGUGACAGAGUGAGACUCCAUCUCAAAAAAAUAAAAAUAAAAAAAUAAAAAGAAUGUGGUGUAUGAUUUUGUUUUCUGUUUCUAUGUUAAUCCACUUAGGAUAAUGGCCUCCAGCUACAUCCACGUUGUUACAAAAGACACGAUUUCAUUCUCUUAUAUGGCUGCCUAAUAUUCCACGGUGUAUAUGUACCAUAUUUUCUUUAUCACAUCCACUGUUGAUCCACACCUGGGUUGAUUCCAUGUCUGUGCUAUUGUGAAUAGCACUGCAGUGAACAUGUGGGUGCGUGUGUCUUUGU
rnacentral:lncRNA from 10 species